CUUCCCUCAAAGUUCGGCUCAAAAGAGGGAUAAUGUUAAUCGAGCAUUUGAACGGAACACAAAAAAACCAACAAGAACCAAUUUCUGCUUUGCACCGAGCGCGGGCAUUUAAAGGAUCAGCCGGCGGUUCCAAAAAUUACGAGGAUUAGCUGGUUGAAACCAUUAGAUGACCAGCCGCUGCUCGCUGCUAUCGGGGAGAAUCAAACGGCGAAAAAGCAAAGCUGCUUUGCCGAACAGCAUGUCCCGCGCGCACGUGUCCUCCCUCCUGGAGGCAAGCUGCAGGUGCAGAGGAGGACAGCAGUUGUAGGGGUUUGUGUUUUGUGCAAAGAGGCAGCGUGCAAGCAGACGAAAGAGACUGCGGGUAGGCAAUGCGGCACACAUCGAAGAAGCAGCUCAUACGGCUAACCUGACAUUUUCACGCAGACCUCCGGCUGACUACACGUGUGUGAGGUGCGACUGCGUCAAGCGAGGCUGAGUUCCUGGAUUGAACCGCGGGAGGUUCUCAGCAGUCAAGAGACACUUGGAUGCUGCUGAUGCUGCUGAUGCCCUGCGGAUUGAACUUUGGCGGCAGGAUUAAGGCCCAUCCUUGUCAUCCCACAGGGCAGAGUGGUUUGAUUGACAGCUGGGUUCAGCAUCUUGACACAGGUCCGUGCCCCCGUCAUCAUCGCUGAUCGUCCCAUGCCGGCCUCUCAGAGUGACAGGUGCCUGCAGAGCCAUUUACUCCUCACGCAGCCGAAAAGAAAAAGUCGCCACGACUGCUCUCCUCCGCUUCCUGCACCUCUUCGUAACGUAUUUCCUUUUUAGCUUCCUGUAUUUCCCUUUUUUUUAGUAUUGUUUUUUUUCAUUUGGUUCUCCUUGACCUCAUCCUCUUUUCUCUCGUCUCUGAUCAACUCUCAAGUAUCUUCUGCAGGCAUCUUUUAAUCUAAAGGAAUCUGCCAGAUCUUAAUUAAGGUAAUUACUGUGUUUGUUUUAACUUAACACUCAUGACUCCACUCGAGCUACAAUCUUUGAGCGGGCUAUAACAGAUGGGGUGCUUAGUACUCCAUUGGGAUGCCUGACAGGAGUCAGCUGUAUGAUUUUUGAGCUUGAUGUUUUUUAGCUUAAUUUACCUCGCAAAACCGCUUAACAGGAAUUCCUCCCAAACCUUUCGCACAAAUGUUAAAAGGUGUCAUUAAUGUGUUAGGAGGGAAACCGAAACUGCUAUAUUUAUCAUGCGGAAUGGCUGGUUAGCUUUUAAUCACCACCACAAAAUGCGACAUUCCCUGAAGCUCUGUCACUAUGUGUUUUUUUUCGCAUGUACGUUUGGGCCUCAAGGGUUCUGGUUCAUCAACUCACAUUCAUCUCGUGACGAGCUGCUACACAACGUGUGGCGAUCCGCGAGCGACAAAACGCGUCUCUAUCUGUCUCGUUUGCUACUCAAAAGUUAGGAAACUCCAGGUUGUAAGCGUUUUAACAUGUAUCAUGUAACAUGUAACAUGUAUCAUGACCGAGAUACAUAUUGUGUGUGUGUGUGUGUGUGUGUGAGAGACCCAGAAGGACAGGAGGGCAUCAGAUGAGUACAGACUGUUUCCACCUGCCAGGUGCUUGGUCUCUAAUCCCCCCUCUCUGUCUGAUUAAACACACACACACACACACACACACACACACACACACACACACACACACACACACAUGCGUGUGCACGGGCACAACAAGGUCAUCUCUCUGUCAACCAUACAAUAGCGCUGUGUACCCAUCUGGCCUACAUCCUAAAUGCUUCCUCUUCAGUAAGCAAAUAAAAAAAAGGAGAAGACAGCAAACACUUGGAUCCAUAGCAACAGGUUACAAGUAAAUGACGAUUACAACAAUGGCGCUAUUUUACCACGUACUCCUUGUUCAUAAUGACAUGUCAUGUGCAGCCUGAUCUCCAAAACCUGUUCGUAAAAAUGUACACGAAAAUCUUGAAAAUACAAAUUUCGUAGUGAUACAUACGAAAUGACGUCACCCUAUUCAAAGUGAACGGGGACCUGCACCCCGUAAACACACUUUGUGAAGUCUAACGAUGUAAAAUAAACGUGUUAUGAUUGCAUUUUUAACGAGAAAUCAGUGUUAACUUGUAAGAAUAGAAUCCUAACCCUAACCCCCUCCAAAAAUCCGGCGAGGCGGAGAGACGUUCACUCAAGAAUCCGACAUGGUCCGCCAUGUUGUUCACUCAAGGGGCGUGGUUAACCCCCGCAGUUCGUAGGUAUCACUACGAAAUUUGUAUGUUCAAGAUUUUCGUAUACAUUUUUACGAACAGGUUUUGGAGAUCACGUUGGUCAUGUGACUAGUUGGGGAGAGGCCGGCAGUCACUUGUUUUGCCGUAUGUCCUUCUCUGUCCCGUGCACCCAGAGCUCCACUCAGAGAGGAUGAAGCCUGACACAAUAGUUUCUUUGUAUGAUAUCAAAAACACACUUUUAAGAACGCCGUUGUGCACCAAAGCUCGGCCAAAACCGCACGAGAUCCCCCUUCUCCCUUUUACAAUAAUAAAACUGCCUUUCUCUCUCUCUCUGUUUCCUGUUUUUACUUUGGAAUAUGACAAGCCUCCCCUGUGGUGAGGUCAUAUCAUUCUGACAAUGUUUUAUUCUGGGAGUACAACGCUUUGAUAUCUAGGAUAAGAGGGCUUUGUAGAGACAGUGACACCCGUCCUCCUCCUUCUACCUCCUCGGUACCCUCCCACUCCUCUGCCUUUCCUUCCCCUGGGGGGGUUUUGGCUUCUUCUGCCCCAUCUGACGGCUUUUAUGUCUGACGAGGUUUCUGCGCUGUUGAGGUGAGGACGAGGUCAAAAAGGACUUCAAACGCCGCGCUGAGGAACGCCAUGUCUGAAAUGAAUGAAGACGAAUGCGAAAAAAAAAAUUGUUUGUGUAACGUUUUGAACGGACACCUGAGUUCUGGGGUUUGUGUCCUGCGUUAAAUCACGGAGGACUAGAUAGCAUGCGGCCAGGAAAAUGUACCGUGCAUUAUCUACUAUGUUUAGCAUCAAGAGCAGCAUACCGUGCAUUUAUCACAAAUCUGUGUGUGGCUCGAUGUGCAUUACGAUAGUGCAGGAAUUCCAUGUGGUGCCGUGCUGUCUGCACCGUCUCCUCUGCUCACCUGUUGAGGCUGUGAUUAGAUACCGUCAACCUCCAGGCCACAGCUAUCACACACAGGUAGAGAACAGGCGGGACGCGGCUUUCCCUUAUGCUGCGGGAUGAGAGGGAACCGGUGAACCCCGGGAACUGCAGACGGCGCUGAAAGUUUGUGUCACACUAAUGAGCAAUCUGUCAACAAGUGUGCGCUACAGGGGGACUUCGAAAAAAAAAAAAAAAGCAAACGCUUGGAGAAAAAAAAACGAGAUUAUAUGGUGGAUAUCCCUGUACGAAUCCCCCUCCCUGUCUGAUUGGGGGACUGUAUAUUGUGCUCCGCGUGGGUUUUUGGAUGGUUUUUGUGUGAUUUGUGUGUUUUAACCCCUUGAUGAAAAACUUGAAUAUAGAAUCAUCUCCCUGUAACAGAAUUGUCGGCAGAUGUCAUUGUCCUCUUUGUUUUAUCCUUUGUUUUUAAAGAUAUUGGCGCCAGUAUCAGCGCAAGGGUUCAGUUGACAUCAGUAGGUGUAAACUUGUAAAGUUUUCUCCCCUCUGAAACUCCAACGUGACCUCAUAGUGUCAACCUCAACCGGACGGCCUAUCGUCUCAUUUAAGUAGGAAGCGGGGAGUUACGGACUGUGGAGAUCCAGGUAAACUGUAGAGAUGUGAUACUACUCUGACUUCAGUCACCCGUUAUUCUCCACUUUGUUAGUAAAAUAGUAACUGAACAUGCAAGUACGGUGUGGUCUGGUUUAAUCACUUCAUCAGAUCAUGUUUCAACAAAUAGCAUUUCAUGCCUCUCCUAGCAACACCUUUUAAAGGAAUAACACUCUUGUUUUUUCCAGCAUACAGUACAUGAUUCCUCCAAAUGACAUUAUUAUUAUUAUUGUUGUACGUAAAAAAGCAGUCAAUACUAUUCAACUCAACUAUAUAGAGUCCAAAAUAUCAGCAACAUCUCAGAAAGAAAUCACAUGAAUGUCUACAUACCGCUGCGGGAAGAUAAAUGUUCUCGUUGUUUUUUGGAGAGGGCCAACCUUCGCAUAUAAAUUAUUUUUCCCCUAAAGGUGCAAUAAAACAGCUACGUGUCACACACACUGCAAUCUCCUAUACGAGAUGAUCCCUGAUUAUGCGCUGGAGGGGCCCGUCUUGCAGGGAGGUUGACAAAGUGGGGCCUGACCCUGGGCCGAGGCUUGUUUUG
ensembl:lncRNA